CCAUGAUGAUAAUGGACUGAACAUCAAAACCAGUUUUGCCACUCAAACUGACAGAGUCUAGCUUUUGUACUUAUUGCUUGGGGUCUGCUGUGAUCAUUUGAUGGAACACUCUCCAAGCCAACUGGAAAUUAAUAUGCUGGGAUACUGCCUGCUAUGUAACUCCAGUGACUGCCCUUACAGUGUUCAUUGAUAUCCACCACUUCCCAGUAAGGUGAACCCUUCCCUACUUAUCUUAAUGAACAGGCCUUUAUAAUCCCCAAGAUUGUCUUGAUUGUGCCUCUGCUGCCACCUAGCCCCCAAUCUCUUGCUGUUCUAGUCAUCCAGGCAGUGGAAUAGCCACCCACUCUCCCUGAUACCUACUGUGUGUUUUACUGUGUGCUAGGCUUGGUCAAAGGGCUCAGUUUUAAAUCUCUGUAAGAGUCACUUGAAAGGUGAGGCAGCUACUGCUAGCUGCAGAGCAGAACACUGUCACAGAAAAACACAAAUAAAAGUACAGAUCUAUUUUAUUUCUUCUUUUUGUCUUCCCUGGUGGAUUUGUUUUUGAGUUUGGAUGUCCCUGUGUUCUGUUCUUUUAUCUUUCAUAUCAGAGUUGUUCAUUGCUCACAUUAAUAUACUACUGUGAUGAAAUUUGCUUUCUAAGAUCUUCCCCUGUUUCUCGCAUUUCACUAGUUUGCAUUCCUCUCUUACAAGUUAAAAUCCUGGUUUAUGCAGUGACACAUUUGGACAGGUUUUUGUAGGUUCUCUGUACUUCUGAGGACCAUGACUACACCUCUGACUUAGAGGUGACCUUCUGAGGCAAGAGAUCUUAGCUUAGCAUGAAGGUGAUUUUUUUUUUUUAAAUUGGCCCCAUGAGCUAGUGAGUGUUAGUUACCUUGUGUGUCACCUCCACCUCCAAUAGUCGCCCUCCCCCCACCCCCUAAAGCCCUUUGUUUACAGAUGAGACACCUGAUUGUUAAGGUAACUCUUGGAGUGGUCAUGAACAUUCCUGAGGGUUGGGCCCUGUUCCUAGGACAGUGGAUGCCUGUCUUAGGAAACUACUCAAACGCCAGGGAGGAGGGCCCAGGUGUGUUUGAUUCCCACAUACCGGAGGUUAUAACAAGCUGUGCAGUGCUGGUCACUGAGCCGUAGUCAUUUGUGGCUGAGCAGGUAAAGAUGCCUGCAUCUUCAGGGAAACUCUCAGCAAUGACAAGGGUGCAGAUCUCCUCUGGAAGCAAAGAGACCAAGACAAUCUGUCAGAGGGAAACUGAGAAGUCAUGUGAUGUCAGCCCAACCUCCUCCAGCUACCCUCUUAAAGCAGCUCUCAGGCUUGUAUAAGGCUUCUUCUUUCAACUUAACCAUCAUCAACAAAGAGAACAAAGAAGAUUAAAAGAGCAGAGUAAUGAAUGUUUCUUAUGUAUGUAUCCAUUGAAAUGCCAAGUUAGGCAAAGAUUUGAGAUAUUCCCAAAAUAUAAAGAAAUUCAUGUAACAAGAUGUCGCUUGGGUAGUGUCCAUCUUUGUUGAAGAAUGAGAACACAUGAGCUAUAGUUCUAGCAAGAGGGAAGAAGAUAGAUUAAAGGCUCCAACAGCCUGACUAAUGAGAGGGUCUAAGAUACUAAGAAAGACUUCUGAGAGAAAGCCUGCAACCCCAUCCAACGUACAGAGCCUAGACAUUCCGAAUCCACCCAUCUAUUUGCUGAGUGUGUUAAGGAGUGCACUGCUUAAUAUUCUAUUGCUGCAGGUGUGAGAUAACAAUCCAGGAUUUCUAGCCGCAAGUUACCUGGUAUUUUUAAGGGGAUGGGAUUUGUUGAUGUGGAAACAAGAACUCGAAUUAGAAAUUCGCCAGAUGGCUCCCAAAGCCAAAGUUUACAGGCCUAAUGCCCACCUGCCACAAGGGUGUGUCCACAUGCCAGGAGGGUGUGCCUAGUCUUCCAUUUCUGUUUCCUUCAAAGUCAGUGCAGGAAGUGGGUAGAUUUAUGAGAAAAUUCCAGUUUACUGAAUGUAAAUAUCUCUUUAAAUAUAAGGUGGAAUUAGGAAACGAAUUAAAUUUUGGGGGGCAAUUCAAAAAUUAGAACACUUUGACGUUUAUAUUUUUCAGACUUCUGGAGGGAUCAAAAUGCAGAUUGACUAUGUAAUAUCUUUUCAGUCUGAUCAGAUAUUAGAUAUUAUAUAAUUACUCUAUUACCAUAAGGCAAAGUAUUUUUGUUCCCCUCAUUUGGUUCUUAGUAGCAUUAUAGUCCUUCCAACUCAAUCUAUAAUGAUGAAGCUAAAUGAGGUUUUCUGAAUUAUCUUCCUUUUUUUCCUUUUUAAGACUUCUGCAUAUUUAAAAAUUGUGAAUUUAUAUUUUGGGUACAUCUGAGCGCUCACUGCUUGGGAGCUGUGAGCAGAAGGAUCAGGAGUUCAAAGCUAGUCUCGAGCUUUUCAACCUUAACACAGAUUAGAUGAGACCUGGUCUCAAAAACAAAAUCAAUCAGUCAAACAAAGAAGCCUCCCCAGAUCAGCCCCACCACUUCAUUUUCCACCUCAGGAAAAGAAAAAUAGGUUUUGGAUAGAUGGCACACAUACAUGAUAAAAAAUUUAUACAAAUACACAGUAUAGAACUUAAGAGGUACAAAUGGGUGUUUAUCUUUCUACCUCUUAAAUAAUUGUGUUGAAACUUUCAUGAGGUUUUACCUUAAAUUUAAGACAGAGUCUUAAACGUACACAUUUUAGCUUAUAUCUGUACAUUUUCGCUUAUGACAGGACAUAUAGAAACAUAGUAAAGGGAUAAUUAUUUUGAUACACAGACUAUUUUCACUAUGUGCAAAAAGUACAGUAACCUCACAAGAACUCAAUGAUAGUUAUUUCAAUGAGAAGAUGGCUUGAGUUCUUCAGUCAAUAAUGAAAUGAUGGCCUCAUGAGAAUUCCAUGAGUCAAACAAUGAAAAAUAUAUGCUAUUGAAAAAUCACAACCUGAGUUUUUAAAAUUUUUUUCCCAAUGAUAUGAAAACAUCUUUUGGGACAAUAUAGCAUAAUAACACAGAAUUGUGUUGCAGAAGCAGGCUUGAGGGUGGCAACAUUGGCUCUCAUCUCACUCCUGAGGCUGGCAAGCAUCCUUUGAGAAACCCUGCAAGGUCUCAUCAGUAAGUCACGGGAGUUAUGGUUUUGUUUUUGUCUUUUACAUUUUAUGAUCAAAACAGUUCUUUAAAAGACAAACUUGGAAUACCCAGUGUGAAUGCAGGCAUAAAUGGACAGCAUGCUGCAGAGCUUUCUCUAGUUCUUAAUGCUUACCUAAGAGGAUAGCAAAGAACAUAGACAGGCAAGUACUCAGCAAAUUAAUAACAAAACUAAUGUAAUAACAGAUCAAAAAGUCAAUCAUCUUCCCACACCCCAUCUCCAUUAAUUGAUAAAUAAAAAUUGUAUACAUGUAAAAUUAAAAAAAAAAAAGAGGAUAGCAAAGCUCUCCGAGUUAAAUGUUAGCAGGAUUUUGCUUCUGGUUGCUGUAGCACUAACAAUAGCAAAAGGCAAAAGAUGCUCAGAAUUUAAACUUGGGCUCCACACUAAUUCCACAACACAUUUCAACAAUGUGUGUCUUUAACAUCACCUUACAGGAGCAGGCAGCUGGGCAGGAAUAGGCAGCCCCACCUUCCUGUCUCUGCAAUAGAAAACAUCCCCUAUCUCAAGCUGCACUGUGGGAACAUGGCAAACACUAUGAAUGAAGAGUGCCAAGCUAUGACUGUAAUUUACAUUUAAGCCAUUUUUGCAUUUCAAAAUUGGCUAAUCUACUUACAGAGGAGAAGAAAAAUCUAGAGGCUAGGAAAAUAAAUUUGGCUCUUGAUAGAUGCCCAGGAUCUUCAUCAUUAUUUAAAUGGAGUAAGUUGAAAACUAGAAUGCCUGAGCCCUUGAUUAGACUGAUGAUUCUCUGUUGUUGUUGAGGGAUUUUAUUUAGGAGGCUGGCUGCAGAGGAUCCUUUGCUUUUGAAUGUUGAUUCCUCUAUGGCAGUGGUUCCCAGGCCUGUCUGAGAGGAAUCACCUGCAGUGAUUGCUAAGUUUGCUGAUUUCUCAGUCCUUUUCUUCACUCACCCAGAGUCUGACUAAGCAGGUCUGGGAUAGAGCCAAGAUUUUUUUUUAAGUAUGCUUUUUGUCUUUAGAAACGUUCUAACAAGUGAAUUUCAAAACAUUUAUUAGAAUGAACAGGAGAUACAGUUUAUGUCCAACCUGCACAUACAAACUACACACACACACACACACAGAGAUAUAUGUGUGUGUAUGUAUAUAUACACAUAUACUCAUGCACUCAUAUGUAUAAGCAAGAGCACACAGACAUAGUGGCGACAAAUGUCACAGAAAACAUGAAACUUAGUGUUAAAAUUUUGAUUAUAGGGCUGGAGAGAUGGCUCAGUGGUUAAGAGCACUGGCUGUUCUUCUAGAGGUUCUGAGUUCAAUUCUCAGAAACCACAUGGUGGCUCAUAACCAUCUAUCUAUAAUGGAAUCUGAUGCCCUCUUCUGUUGUCUGAAGACAUCAACAGUGUACAGUAGAUAGAUAGAUAGAUAGAUAGAUAGAUAGAUAGAUAGAUAGAUAGAUAGAAAGAAAGAUAGAUAGAUAGAUAGAUAGAUAGAUAGAUAGAUAGAUCUUUUAAAAAAUGGUAGUUGCAAAGGAAGGUUGGAGAUUUAACUCCAUGGUAGAACACUUGCCCAGCAGGAACAAGUGUCUGGCUUUGAUCCCUCCCACACCCUGCCCCGUAUGGAAAAAUAAAAAAUGGCCACCACUUUGAUGACUCAUUUUGAACCACCAUUGGAACAGCAGUCAAAAAGCUAUGUCUCCUGAGGCUGGCAAGAUGGCUGAGGGUAGAGGUGGCAGGUGCAAGCCUGAUGGUACACAUUCAGUCCUUGGAGGCCAAUUGGAGGGAAGAGAAAACCAACUCUUCAAGUGUUCUCUGAGGUCCACAGGUGUGGCCUCAC